GUCUGGCAUAGUGGUUUGAGUGUUGGACUGUGACUCUGGAGUCCAAGGUUUGAUUCCCAGCAGACA